UUGAUUUGAGCUCAGAAUGGUAUUGAUAAGUAAUUACUAUUUUGGUAUUAAUUAAUUAAUUCGAAAUACUCCAAACAGAGGCCGAGCAACAGUCCAAUGGUCUGAUCAGAGACUCCGUGGAAUCACAGAACCCAUGUUGAUCAGGUUGGUUAUGGUUUCUGUGAGAGAACAUGUGAGAAGAACAACUGUGGGGGAUAAUAUGUUAAACAAUUAAACACUUUGUUGUUAGGGUUUAAGGGUGAAAAGCUCUUCACCUUUACCAUUCUCUGAGUAUCUGUUUUAACCUUUUCUUUAUCUUUGUUGAAAUUAAUCUGUUCACGUUGGUAAUUGUGAGUUGAAAACUUGUUCUGCAGAGGAUGGGUUCUUGGUUUUUGCUUGUUUCAAACUCCAAAGUAAUUUCUUCUGUUUAUUAAAGAUAUAAUUAGGUUAUAUUUCUUAAAUAUGUCAGAUAAAAGCCUCUUGCCCUCCAGGCUCCUUCUCUGCUUAAUAACGGCAUCAAUGGUUCUUUUAAUCUUUUCUUCGUUGUUCCUUCUUCAAUUCAGCAACCAUUCUUUCAUAACCCGAUCGGUUUCUAAGUUAAUUCCUGUUAAUAAUGAUGCAUCUGCUUAUUUCAAGCCUAGUGUUAGAAGUGAAAAUAACCAACCUAUGAGAAUAAACGAGGUGCCUUGUCAGAGUUCUGAUCCGGGAAAGACAUCCAAUGCCUGCGACAUAAAUCGUGCUCUACUUCGGGUAUACCUGUAUGACUUGCCCCCUGAAUUUCACUUCGGGUUAUUGGGUUGGAAGGGAAAUGCAGAUCAAAUAUGGCCGGAUGUUACUAAAUCUGGUCAUAUCCCUCCCUACCCCGGUGGGUUAAAUUUACAGCACAGUAUGGAGUACUGGCUCACCAUUGAUCUUCUAUCCUCGACUGCUCCGAAUAUAAUCAGACCUUGCAGUGCUAUCAGAGUGUAUAAUUCAAGCCAAGCAGAUAUAAUUCUUGUGCCAUUCUUCUCAUCUCUGAGUUACAAUAGGUACUCUAAGGUUACUGGAAAGGAGAAAGUUAGUAUCAACAGAAUGUUGCAGAAUAAAUUAGUGGAGUUUUUGAAGAAUCGGGAUGAGUGGAAGAAAUUGGAUGGGAAGGAUCAUCUGAUAGUAGCACAUCAUCCGAAUAGCAUGCUGGUUGCUAGAAAGAAGCUGGGUUCUGCAAUGUUUAUUCUUGCAGAUUUCGGGAGAUAUCCGGCUAGAAUAGCAAACCUUGAAAAAGAUGUGAUUGCCCCGUACAAGCAUCUCGUGAAGACCGUUGACGGCGGCAAGUCAGCACCAUUUGAAGGGCGUCCUAUAUUGGUGUAUUUCCAAGGAGCAAUUUAUAGGAAAGAUGGGGGAGCAGUCCGUCAAGAACUUUAUUACCUUCUCAAAGAUGAGAAAGAUGUUCACUUCACAUUUGGAAGCACUCGCUCAAAUGGAAUCAGGCAGGCAGGACAAGGGAUGGGCUCAUCCAAAUUCUGCCUGAAUAUUGCUGGGGAUACCCCUUCCUCAAAUCGCCUCUUUGAUGCCAUUGCUAGCCAUUGUGUUCCUGUAAUUAUCAGUGAUGAGAUCGAGCUACCAUUUGAGGAUGUCCUAGACUACUCAGAGUUCUGCAUAUUUGUACGUGCAUCAGAUGCCAUAAAGAAAGGGUUCCUGCUGAAUAUUCUAAGGGGAAUUAAUCAAGACAAGUGGACCAAUAUGUGGGAAAGAUUAAAGCAGAUUGCACGACACUUUGAAUAUCAGUAUCCAUCUCAGCCUGGUGAUGCAGUUGAUAUGAUUUGGCAGGAAAUUUCACAUAAGAUAUCUCCAAUGCAACUCAGAGUUCACAGGGACAACAGAUAUCGCAAAUCUCAGCAUCUGGUUGAUGUUUGAUAAAUGCACAUUGGAGAACCGAAGUUUCCCAUCUUUAAAUUCUAUAAAGAUCAUGGUUAUCUGCACAGCAGCCAGCCAGACCAUAAACCCCCCACCCAAGCCAACAGGUCUCUCCUUAUAUGGCCUUGGUGUGUCCCCUUCUCUUCCUUUUAUAACCUGGCUCUUUAUUUUAUUCCCAGUUAUCCAUGCACCAAGAGCGAAGACCAUCUUUCUCUUUUCUAUCUUUUCCUUUCUUUUUUUCUCUUGGUUCAUUAAUUGAAAACCACCAGCAGCAGAGUUUUUCUAUUUUUAUGUAAGAUGGAUACUGCAAUGUGAGCCUUCACUUUCAGUCCCACUGUAUAAUUUGAAAGUAAAAGAAACACAUGAAAUGUUGCUUUCUGAUA